rnacentral:rRNA from 1 species
UGUUUCCCGAUUUUAAGAGGAGUUAAUGGUUUAUGGUGGUUGCUGUUUUAUAAGCAUGGUUAAUAUUCUAUUGGUAGUGAGAUGUUAUUCGUCUUUGUUGGUCUCUGGUUUUUCAAGAAAUGAAUUUAAUUCAUGCAUCUCGUUUAAAUUUAUUAUUUUUUUAUUAAAUUUUAAUUUGCUGUUAAGAUUGGGGGGGAUUAGCUCCCCUUUUUAUUUUAUUAUAAUUUUGUUAUUUCAGGAUUUUUGUUGAUUUUAUAUUGAUUUUCUAUUUGAUUAUGUUAAAAUUUUAUUUUGUGUUUUGUUUAUUUUUUUUGAUUUAAUUUUUUAUUGAAAUUUUAUUUUUAAUUAUGUUUUUUUUGUAUUUAUUGUUGAAUUAGUAAAUUUGCUUUUAUUUUGUUUAUUUUUUUUUGUUGUUAAUUUCUUCUUAGGAAUUAGGCAAAGAUUUUGUGUCCGCCUGUUUAACAAAAACAUCUUUUCUUGUUAGUUUUUGAAGUAUGGCCUGCCCACUGAGUAUUUUUGAAGGGCCGCGGUAUUUUGACCGUGCAAAGGUAGCAUAAUCAUUAGUUCUUUAAUUGUGAUCUGGAAUGAAUGGCUUGACGAGAUGCAGACUGUCUUAGAUUUUGUUGAAUUGUUAUUUGAAUUUGGUUUCUGAGUUAAAAUUCUCAGAUUUUCUUAUGGGACGAGAAGACCCUAUAGAGUUUGUACACAUUAUUUAUUUAUUUAUUGUUCGUUUGAUUUUCUUGAGUUUAUUUAUGGUGUUUUGUUGGGGUGAUUGGAAGAAUUUGUUUAACUCUUCUUUUCUUUUCGUCAUUUAUUUAUGUUUUUUUGAU